CUGCUGCCUCCCGUAGGAGUCUGGGCCGUAUCUCAGUCCCAAUGUGGCCGAUCACCCUCUCAGGUCGGCUACGCAUCGUCGCCUUGGUAAGCCGUUACCUUACCAACUAGCUAAUGCGACGCGAGCCCAUCUUAUACCGGAUUUCUCCUUUACCCCUCUACCAUGCGGUAGUGUGGUCUUAUACCGUAUUAACCGAAGUUUCCCUCGGGUAUCCCGUUGUACAAGGCAGGUUGCUCACGCGUUACUCACCCGUUCGCCACUAGGAUAUU
rnacentral:rRNA from 1 species